CAAUGAAGUCUGGAUUAAAUGCAGCAAACUGUCUAACUUUUGGGAAACUCAUCUUCUGACCCAGAAGCUACAAUGGGCCAUGUAUUUUCUAUUACAUCAUACUUGAUGAACUGAAAGAUCCCUGGGGACACCGUGCUAUUAAAAUCCCCAGAGAUGACGUUUCUCCCUCCACGAACAUAUCAGUGAUGCAUACAACCUGGGAAUGUGCUCCAAAUCAGACAUUGAACUCUGGAGAAAAAGAACCACCUCAAAAGUUGUGGCAUGCAUCCAUAGGUCAUUCCUUUUUGAUUGGUGAGUAGGGUUUUAUUGUGUGGAUAUCCAGGAGCGUAUUCAACCAUUCAUUCAAAGAAGUUGUUGCAGGAGGGUUUCCCAGUGCCUUGCUGUUAUAUGGAAAGAUGCAACGACCAUUUUCUUCUCCGUUGCUGCGAUGGAGCACCAUGAAGAACACAACUUAUAGAAGGAUUGAUUUGGGCUUCCCAAAAAAUCAGGGUCCAUCACCAUCCUGGUGGGGAGCAUGGCGGCAGGAAGGCAUGGUAGUGGGAGCAGCAGCUGAGACCUCACAUCUCAAGCCACAAGCAGGAAGCAGAGAGAGCACUCACCCCCAGUGACACACUUCCUCCGCAAGGCCAUACCUUCUAAGCCUACCCAAAUAGCCACCAACUGGAGACCAAGUAUUUACUUACCCCAGAUAUGAGGACAUCGCGUUCAAACUACCGCACGCAAGAAGCUGGCUGCUUUGCUCUGACCAACUGUGUCAGAUUGUGGGCUCCUGAGAUUCGUGGACAUCUGGGACCUGAGGCUCUUCUUCUCUAAUCUGGGAGGUAUCGUCCAGUCUGGGAAUUGGAAAUGCUGCUCAAGAGAUGAGAAAAAAGGACAUCAUGAUUGGUUCAAUACUUCCCCAAGUUAAAAGCAGAUUUUUAUGGACUGGUACCCAAAGAGGCCAUAAGAUGUUGGAUUCCCUGGAGCUGGAGUUACAGGUGAUUGGGAGCUGCCUGACAUGGGUACUGGGAACAGAACUUCAGUCUGUGAGAACAGCAUGUGUCCUUAACAAAC